rnacentral:rRNA from 2 species
GCUUGCUUCUAUAACGUUAGCGGCGGACGGGUGAGUAACACGUGGGCAACCUGCCUGUAAGACUGGGAUAACUUCGGGAAACCGAAGCUAAUACCGGAUAGGAUCUUCUCCUUCAUGGGAGAUGAUUGAAAGAUGGUUUCGGCUAUCACUUACAGAUGGGCCCGCGGUGCAUUAGCUAGUUGGUGAGGUAACGGCUCACCAAGGCAACGAUGCAUAGCCGACCUGAGAGGGUGAUCGGCCACACUGGGACUGAGACACGGCCCAGACUCCUACGGGAGGCAGCAGUAGGGAAUCUUCCGCAAUGGACGAAAGUCUGACGGAGCAACGCCGCGUGAGUGAUGAAGGCUUUCGGGUCGUAAAACUCUGUUGUUAGGGAAGAACAAGUACGAGAGUAACUGCUCGUACCUUGACGGUACCUAACCAGAAAGCCACGGCUAACUACGUGCCAGCAGCCGCGGUAAUACGUAGGUGGCAAGCGUUAUCCGGAAUUAUUGGGCGUAAAGCGCGCGCAGGCGGUUUCUUAAGUCUGAUGUGAAAGCCCACGGCUCAACCGUGGAGGGUCAUUGGAAACUGGGGAACUUGAGUGCAGAAGAGAAAAGCGGAAUUCCACGUGUAGCGGUGAAAUGCGUAAAGAUGUGGAGGAACACCACUGGCGAAGGCGGCUUUUUGGUCUGUAACUGACGCUGAGGCGCGAAAGCGCGGGGAGCAAACACGAUUAGAUACCCUGGUAGUCCACGCCGUACACGAUGAGUGGUAAGUGUUAGAGGGGUUUCCGCCCUUUAGUGCUGCAGCUAGCGCUUUAUGCACUCCUCUCUGGGGAGUAGGGUCGCAAGAUUGAAACUCACAGGAGUGGACGGGGGGCCCGCCCUACCAGUGGAGCAUGAUGGUUUAUUCGUAGCAACUCUAAGAACCAUUCCAGCUCGUUGACUUCCUGCUGACUACUCUUAUAAUGGAGGCGUUCCGCUUCGGGUGGAGGGGAGUGGACUUGGUGGGGGAGUGAUGUCGUCGGCUC